rnacentral:misc_RNA from 1 species
CAAGGUUUCCGUAGGUGAACCUGCGGAAGGAUCAUUAACGCGCAGGCCGGAGGCUGGCCCCCCACGAUAGGAAUCAACGUUCCAUCAGGGGUGUGCAGAUGUGCGCCGGUCUUACGCCCCAUUCUUGUCUACCUUACUCGGUUGCCUCGGCGGGCCGCGCUCUCCUGGGAGAGUCGUCCGGCGAGCCUCUUUGGGGGCUUUAGCUGGAUCGCGCCCGCCGGAGGACAGACAUCAAAAAAUCUUGGAAAGCUGUCAGUCUGAGCGUUAGCAAGUAAAAUUAGUUAAAACUUUCAACAACGGAUCUCUUGGUUCCGGCAUCGAUGAAGAACGCAGCGAAAUGCGAUAAGUAAUGUGAAUUGCAGAAUUCCGUGAAUCAUCGAAUCUUUGAACGCACAUUGCGCCCUCUGGUAUUCCGGGGGGCAUGCCUGUUCGAGCGUCAUUUCAACCCCUCAAGCCCGGCUUGUGUGAUGGACGACCGUCCGACCUCCUCUUUCGGGGGCGGGACGCGCCCGAAAAGCAGUGGCCAGGCCGCGAUCCCGGCUUCCUGGGCGAAUGGGCAGUCAAACCAGCGCCCUCAGGACCGGCCGCUCUGGCCUUCCCCCAAAUCUCUCUGAGAUAUUUUUUCAGGUUGACCUCGGAUCAGGUAGGGAUACCCGCUGAACUUAAGCAUAUC